AGGGUUUUAGAGAAAGGGUUUUACCUUUCCACUCACUCCAUACACAACAUACUCAGAAAUGGCACAAAUCAGCACAUAUUUUCAGCCUAUGAGUUUCAGGCUUUUAUUCAUUUCUAGAGUCUCAUGCCCUGCAUUCCCACUGUUUCGGAAUUUCGGUCACAUUAAGGUUUGGAUGAACAGAAUCCAUUCACCUGCAAUUCAGAUGGCAGCUCCUUCAACCUCCAGUUUUAAACUAUACUUUCAGAGAAUUCUUCAAAUACCCAAUUCUAUCCGCAUUUCAGGUAAAAUUAGUAAGUGGAACAUCAUUGGUGGUUCAGUUGUACUUGGAUUGGUUAGCAUUUUUCCACGCAUCUCAUAUUCUCU